rnacentral:lncRNA from 1 species
AAACCAGCGCUUUGUGUUUGUUUGUGUUGCAUUGGCCAUUUUGGGUCAAGUUCAGCCUCGGGACAGUUAGGCCUCCCUCCCUCUGGGCUCCUGGAAUGGAGCCACGAACCUUCUAAUUGAUUGUUUAAUUACGGAGGUUUCCAAGUUACAGCUGCUUGGAGCCUCUCCAUGAUUUAUUCUGCAAAAUAAAAACCUCUCUUUCCUCGCAGGUCCGUGCCAGGAGUAAAUAACCUUCCUGAUUUAGGAGACUGGACAGCAUCUUCUAGAAAGAAGCUCACAAGACCAGGGCGGGUGUGACUCGGCCGUGGUGUUCUUGACAACAAACUCUUUAAUGUUCAUCCGCAGCAGCCUUCCCUUUCCUGACUCAGGCAGCAACCUCACAAAGGCCAAGGGGCCGAGAGGUUGAGACCACGGCGAGUCUCAGCGGAGCAGCUCACUCUGCACGGGCCUGACGUGCUUGGAAAUGCUGUGCUCAGAUGCGCCAACUGAAACAACUGCUCUUGACCUGGUAACAUCCUGUGGCUGCCAAGUGCUCACAGCGCAAGGGGCACUGGGUCCCCACGUGGCCAGGAUGCCGAAUGACCACAUCCUUCUUCUGAGCCCAGAGAUCCGAGCACACGACUCUGAGUCAUCCAGCUGA